rnacentral:rRNA from 1 species
UUUAAGGUCUGGCCUGCCCAAUGAUUAUUUAAAUGGCCGCAGUAUUUUGACUGUGCAAAGGUAGCAUAAUCAUUAGUUUCUUAAUUAGAAGCUGGAAUGAAAGGUUUGAUGAAAAAUUAACUGUCUUUUAUUUAUUAUUUUAGAAUUUUAUUUCUAAGUAAAAAAGCUUAGAUUUUUAAUAUAGACGAGAAGACCCUAUAGAGUUUUAUUGAUUAAUUACUUAUUUUUUAUGAUUUUUUAUUUGUAUUUUUUCAAUUUCGUUGGGGUGAUGAAUAAAUUUUAUAAACUUUAUUUUUUAAAAACGUAUAUUAACGUUUUUUUGAUCCUUUUUUUGGAUUAUAAGAUUAAAUUACCUUAGGGAUAACAGCGUAAUUUUUUUUGAAAGUUCUUAUUGAUAAAAAAGUUUGCGACCUCGAUGUUGGAUUAAAAUUAAUGUUUGGUGUAGUAGCUUUAAUAUUAGGUCUGUUCGACCUUUAAAAUUUUACA